CAGUAGCCACGGUAAUACGUAGGUCCCGAGCGUUGUCCGGAUUUAUUGGGCGUAAAGCGUCUGUAGGUGGCUUUUCAAGUCCGCCAUCAAAUCCCAAGGCUCAACCCUGGACAGGCGGUGGAAAAUACCAAGCUGGAGUACGGUAGGGGCAGAGGGAAUUUCCGGUGGAGCGGUGAAAUGCGUUGAGAUUGGAAAGAACACCAACGGUGAAAGCACUCUGCUGGGCCGACACUGACACUGAGAGACGAAAGCUAGGGGAGCAAAUGGGAUUAGAUACCCCCGUAGUCCCUGUCUCUUAUAC
rnacentral:rRNA from 1 species